AGCUGUCUCACUCCCAUUUCAUUUCAGAUCUCAAACACCUCUCUGUUCCGUCCGCUGCUUCCUCUUUGCCUUUGCUUCCUCUCUUUCUCUCUCUCUCUCUCUCUCCCUCCCUCUCCCUCUCCUUCCUCUCUUCCUCCAAAUCACUCUCUUUCCAAUCUUCUCCUGUCCUCCUCGCGGAUUCCUUCUUCCAAACCAUGAUUUUCCCUCGCCCUUUUCUAGAUCCGACAAAAAGAGGAAUUGAAAGAGCUUGCGACGAUCAUGGCUAUAUCGCUGCAACAAAGAUCUAUUGUGGACUUGACUAUGAAUUUGAAUGUGGGCACUGGGCACGCGCUAUUGAAGUC